AACACUUCGGUUUCCUAAAAAAUAUCUAAAAUAUAACUGGUUGUGAUGAGUGUAUUCAGAGCCUCCUAAAGAAAUAUUGUCACCAAAGUCCAAACUAUGAUGCCAUGCAAAACUCUCACUAAUUAAUGUUAGCUUUAAAUAUUGUGAUGAGAAAAUAACUUAUAUAGCAGAACCUUCAUCAGUGAUUGUAUGGACACCUGAAUUGAUUUCAAAGUAAGUCGGAGCUGGAAAAGUUUGGGUCAGAGUUUUUAGGAUUGGGUUAGACGUCAGAUGUAGGUCUCAGUGAUUAUAUAUUUUGCAUACCUAGGAUAUUUGUACAUUGUACAACUCUUCGUCUUUCCUUCAUAUACCCACAUGCAAAGUUUGAUCAUACUUUUAGUUUGUUUGUGCUUUACGUCCUAUUAACAGCAAUGAUCAUUGAAGGAUGUGGUACUGGAGGAAAGCCGGAGUUCCCAGAGAAAAACCACCGACCUACGGCCAGUACCAGUGACUGCCCCGAGUAGGUCUUUAACCUGCGACCCAGAGUGGAGGGCUAGUGGUAGCAGAAUGUCAGACGCCUAAACCACUUGGCCACAGCGGCCCCAAACUUAUCCUGAUGACAAUACAGGAAAUAGUGUACCAGAGAUGCCCUGUAAACAAUAUUUCCUUAAAUAGGUCAUAGUCAACAUAGGUGACUCUGACCUAGUUUUUUAUGUGACUGUGUUUUCUUGAUGUAACCAUAUACCAAGUUCAAUGAUCACUGUUGGAGAAAUGGAAAGUGGACAAGCAUAUGGCAAACACUAUAUGUGCUCUUUGUUGUCUGCACAACAAAUUUGGUCAGGAAAAGGAAAGAAAUAAUUUGGUCAGGAAAAGGAAAGAAAUAAUUUGGUCAGGAAAGAAAUGCAGUGUAUUGGAUAGUUGUCGUAAUUAUUACUUUGUCAUUGAGGAAAUCAAUACAAUGUAACCUGUCUAAACCAGAUAAUGCCUGAAACUUGGAUAAUUUACCAGUUUAUACAGGGUCCAAAUAUUACAGGUUUAUGCAGGGUCAAGAUGUUACUCUGUGAUAGUAAAUAUUAACACUUUGAACAUACAAUGCUUAUUUUUUAACAAAUAUAUCAUUUUAAAGAGAAAAUUGGGACUGUUUUUAAAAAGUCUGUAAAGACAGGGAUCAUGAUUACACAGGAGCCAGUUUUGACAGGUUUUACUGUUAAGUAACUCUGUUUAUUGAUUUCAAACUGUAGAUCAGAAAAUUAUUUUCUUACACAGGAUGUACACGUAUUAAGUUUUUCAUCACAUAAUACCUAAGGCAAAAAAACAAUAGCCAUUUCUUACAAAAUAGUUUCAAUUUAUUUCAAGCACUUGAAUUACACAUUAUUUUUUAUAAACAUUUAU